rnacentral:rRNA from 1 species
AUGUUGUUGUGGCUACUAUCUCAUGGAGGGUCCCAAAAUGGGUGCUCCAAAAAUGCUGCUCCCACUUGGCGCCAAAAAUCAAAAGUUCUCCUGAUGGCUGCACUGAUGCUUGCCUGUGUUGCCACUUUGCCUCUGAAAGUACACUCGUUCCUUGCCUUCCAAAGCUCGGAGAGGAUGAGAAUGAUGGUGGUCUUGAUGGCCUUCUUGUGCUCAGGUCGCGCUGCACUGAUCAUUUCAACGAUGAUGGCAGACGGCUUGGUCUUGUUCUGCCACUGCAGUGGAUGGAGUGAGCUGCACCCGUAG